UCAGAUCAAACUUGGGCAGACGAGUGGA
rnacentral:piRNA from 1 species